rnacentral:lncRNA from 1 species
AUAUAUGAACAAUAAUGACUCCAAACAAUUUUGGCGGAAAAUUGGUAACAUUGGUAUAGGAAAUGAAAGGCAAUCGGCUAUUCCGAAUGAAGUUGUGCUGUCAGACGGCUCUGUUACAAACAAUUUGGACUCUGUAUUGCAUAAAUGGAAGGAUUGUUUUUAUAAUUUGUUAAAUCAGAGUAACAACUCAGAUCCUAAAAUUGU